rnacentral:rRNA from 1 species
CCUACGGGGGGCUGCAGUGAGGAAUAUUGGUCAAUGGACGCGAGCCUGAACCAGCCAAGUAGCGUGAAGGAUGACUGCCCUACGGGUUGUAAACUUCUUUUAUACGGGAAUAAAGUUAAGCACGUAUACCUUUUUGUAUGUACUUUAUGAAUAAGGAUCGGCUAACUCCGUGCCAGCAGCCGCGGUAAUACGGAGGAUCCGAGCGUUAUCCGGAUUUAUUGGGUUUAAAGGGAGCGUAGAUGGGUUGUUAAGUCAGUUGUGAAAGUUUGCGGCUCAACCGUAAAAUUGCAAUUGAUACUGGAAGCCUUGAGUACAGUUGAGGUAGGCGGAAUUCGUGGUGUAGCGGUGAAAUGCUUAGAUAUCACGAAGAACUCCGAUUGCGAAGGCAGCUUACUAAACUGUCACUGACACUGAUGCUCGAAAGUGUGGGUAUCAAACAGGAUUAGAUACCCUAGUAGUC